rnacentral:rRNA from 1 species
AUUGAACGCUGGCGGCAUGCCUAACACAUGCAAGUCGAACGGCAGCACAGUAUGUAGCAAUACAUAUGGGUGGCGAGUGGCGGACGGGUGAGUAACGCGUGGGAAUCUGCCCUAUAGUGGGGGACAACCCGACGAAAGUCGGGCUAAUACCGCAUACGCCCUACGGGGAAAGGCUUCGGCCGGCUAUUGGAUGAGCCCGCGUCGGAUUAGCUAGUUGGUGAGGUAAUGGCUCACCAAGGCGACGAUCCGUAGCUGGUCUGAGAGGACGAUCAGCCACACUGGGACUGAGACACGGCCCAGACUCCUACGGGAGGCAGCAGUGGGGAAUAUUGCACAAUGGGCGAAAGCCUGAUGCAGCAAUGCCGCGUGUGUGAAGAAGGCCUGCGGGUUGUAAAGCACUUUCGGUAGGGAAGAUAAUGACGGUACCUACAGAAGAAGCACCGGCUAACUCCGUGCCAGCAGCCGCGGUAAU